CAAAUAUUAAACAAUGGCUUUUACGUUGAAAUGUUUCAGAAUUCCAGGACAAAAACCAGGGCAGAUGUGAAGAGAACAGUUUCCUGUAUCAUGGUGCUGGAAGAACUAUUACAAGUUGACUUUCUCCUGGUGCUCAUGUGCUAUAUUUGCUUUGCAUAAGAGAAUAAAAGAAGACCUGGCCCAUAUCCUCAGAAGCUUCCAAUCUCAGGCCCUGAUCGUACGAACACUUAAGCAUAUGUUUUUGCUUAAUUCCCAGUAGGAUUAAUGGAUCUGCUCACAUGGGAAAAGGCUGACAUAGAGAAAAAGACCAACAGUUACCCUUGGAGAAGAGACCUGUAGAUGGAAUUACAACUGUUGCUGUGCUCCCAAUAUUUCAACAAAGACAGCAUAAAAUCUAGAGGGGCAAAGAUGUGCCUGAGGUA